GCUUCCUAUGUGAAAUGAAGGAAAAAUCGGCAAGGAAAAGAAGGCUGAAGGAAGGGGACAGACAUCACAAAGUAGGGUUGGAGAGGAAAUAAUAAUCUUUGCUAAAAUUUAAAAUGCACUAUGUGUCAUACCCUAAAUUUUGCCCCUCUUUCACUAUCAUAUGGAUUUUUGUCGCAUUUAUUUUUCGAAUAUGUGAAUUAGCCAAUUUGGUAGGGAGGAGAGUGUUUGAGGAGUUACAAGUGCAUGGUCAUGGGUAUGGUCACGGGUUCGAAUCUCACUUGUGUGUUUUUUUCAUUUUUUUAUUAUUAAUAUCAUCAUUAUUAAAAACAAAAAAAUCAAAAAGAGAUAAGGGUCACAACUUGCGCGUGAAUCAGUCCUGAAGAAGAAAUGUUCAAUCUUGUUCAUUGAAGUAGAUUAAACACGGAGGAGCAGAUCAAAAUCAAAAAGGAAACUCAUAAUUCCAUCAUCAAGAACAUUGAAGCAGUUUAAGUGAGGAUUAUUACAGACAGAUCAAGACAGGAUUGAAAUUUGUGAUUUCAAUCAUAAAACAGAAUUAAUCUGUUUAAUUGUCUUCCAAAAAUAUGAACUAAACUCCUCUACUAUAAAUAGAGGUAGUCACACAAAGAGAAGGGGGAGAAAUCAGACACCAAAAAAGAAAAAUCAGCAGCCACAGAAAUUACACAUAAAAGAUCUGACGCAGAAAAACACACAGAACAGAGAAACAUAAAACCAUAAAAAUUCCAAUCCAAAUCCUAGCCUCCAAAUCCAGAGCAAUAACCUUGCAUAAAGUCCAAAAGAAGGAAGCAGAGAGCAGGAGAACGGGAGGAAAAUAAUAAAAAGAAGGAAUUGAGAGGAAUCUUACUCUGUUGGAAUUCACGGCACACCAGGUUCUUUUUUCACAAAUAAGGUUUUUUUGUUACUUGAAUAUUUAUUUUCAGUGUUAUCUUCAAACACGCAGUAAUUUCUUAUUAUAAUUUUAUUUUCAGUGUUAUGUUCAAACACGUAGUAAUUUCUGUGGCUUUUGAUUUUUCUUUUUUGGUGUCUGAUAUUUACCCUUCUCUUUGUGUGACUACCUCUAUUUAUAGUAGAGGAGUUGAGUUCAUAUUUUUGGAAAACAAUUAAACAGAUUAAUUCUGUUUUAUGAUUGAAAUCACAAAUUCCAAUCCUGUCUUGAUCUGUAAUAAUCCACACUUAAACUGCUUCAAUGUUCUUGAUGAUGAAAUUAUGAGUUUCCUUUUUUAUUUUGAUUUGUUGCUGUGUUUAAUCUACUUAAAUGAACAAGAUUCAAAAUUUCUUCUUCAGGACUGAUAUACGCGCCUUAUCUAUUUUUAUUUGUUUUUAAUAAUGAUGAUAUUAAUAAUAAAAAAAUGAAAUAAAAUAAAAUAAAAAAAACACACUAGUGAGAUUCGAACCCAUGACCAUGCACUUGUAACUCCUCAAACACUCUCCUCCCUACCAAAUUGGCUAAUUCACAUAUUCGAAAAUAAAUGCGACAAAAAUCCAUAUGAUAGUGAAAGACGGGCAAAAUUUAGGGUAUGACACUAUGGUAAUAAAACAUAUAAAAUAAACUUCUUAAAGAACAAGAUAAAGAAACCUUUGUUCAUUGUGCAAGUCUACAAAUCUAGUAUACAGGUGUUCACUGUGUUUGAAUCAAAACUUACUAGGUUAGGAGACAUGUAUUAACAAAGAAGUGUUUCCUUCACUGUAUCAUCUGCCGCAUCCGCUACUCAAACACAACAUAACGAGGUUUCACACAGCGUCUAGGGGCCUCUACGCAUCGCCACUAUAGUUGCCUCUGUUAACUACAGAGUGGCCACAUGUCAGUAUGACGUUUUCUAGAUCAUGAUAACAUAAUAGUCAAUUAUUAGAUAAAAAGUAUCAAAGCUCACAACAAUUCUAGGAGAAGAAGUUUGAGCACACUAUUAAUUAUUAAAAAAUAUCAAACUAGAAAUAAUAGAAUUUACCAAGUAUUUAGCUCAGGAAAUAAAGUAUUUAAAAACGAUUGUAGAAUAGCAUUACAAGAUAUGUUAAAAAUCAUUUAGUUUGAGAAAUGGAUAGAUUGGAAUUCUCAGUAUUACAUCGCUACCUCAAACACAUGAAGCUUGUUUGAUCUCUACUAUUAGGAUACUCUAAAAUCUACUAAGCACAAACGUAUAACAAAUUAUUAGCAAUGCACAAAGGAGAAGAUAAUGAAUUGCAACAAUUCUUUGAAAUGUAUGGUCAUACAUCUUAAUAAACCAGCUUUCUAGCAUCAUCUUUGGUCAAUUUUCAUCUCAAUUACAAACUCAAGUUUUGAAAUGGGGGAGUGUAUGGUUUUCACAGUAUACAUUUGACAAACCAUGAAAGUAAGGUUCCAUUAUUGUCGGAAAUCACAAGCAUAACAAAGACAUACAGAACCUAGUGAACUUAGUUAUCUUUCCGAUGUUUCAUUUGGUGCUUUCAACAAAGUUUCCUCGUGAUGAACUAUCUAGGUAAGUGAAGAUCAAACUCUUCAGUUGUAUGCAUGUAAUUGUUCCAGCAUAUGAAGAGCACGGAACUGGUUUAAUUUUACACAUGCUACCAACGUAAGUUCUAUCUCUUUCAUUUUCAAUGUAUAAACGUAAGAUAAUUAUUAUAUUCAGAAGGACAAAGAAGAGGAAGUGAAACAAGCAUUAUAGGCAUUUAUUACAACAAAUCAUCAUGUAGAUCUAAAAGACACGAGACAUUAAGACCUUUGAAACAGGAAAAACAGAAGCUUAUUAUCAAUAACUUGAUUUAUGUCCUGCUACCCGUUUCAACCGGGAAAAUGAAAAACUAGUAUAUGCAAGCUUGCUCCGGAAUCUAAUCAUAAAGUUGCAAAAGACCAAAAAUGAACCAAGUACCUCGCAACUAGCUAAAGGUGCAGCCUGCUAGACACAAACCAUUGUUUAUAGGGUAAAAUAUUUGGACCUGAUCCUCUGCAGCAUUUGCAGAGAUGUUGUAGAUCCAACUGCACUUCCUUGCACCUAGAUCCAACAGCUCUACCAUACCUGUUCAACAGCAGAUGAUUGAACAGUAGAGGGCCUUCUUUAUCUACAAAUCAUAAUAGAAUUCGGUUAUAGUGAGAUUGAUCAGAGAGAAAAAUCAUAAUAGAAUUCGGUUAUAGUGAGAUUGAUCAAAGAGAAUGUUCUCGACUGAGGGAACCAUUUGGCUAGGCUGGUAGUGAUCCUAUCAGAUUUUCUUUUCCUUUCUGUUUGCAUUGUAAUUACCCUUCCAUAUUCUGCAAUAUAACAGUGUAACAACAUCUUUCAUUUCAUCGAUUCUAUUAAAUAUAAAUUGAACUCCAACAAUUACAGUGAUUGAAAAAAAUCCUUGAAAAAUAUGAUGUAGAUUCACAGAAAAUUGGGAAGAAAAGGAUAGUUAUUAUUAAGGAAUAAAAAAAGUCAACCACAAUUGUUAUUACGACUAUCAUAAUGAAAAUACCAAAGUAUAAUUUUUAAAUAAAAUUAAAAAAAAUGUAAUCGUGAGCCAAAUGCAUUAACCAUCUUUUAUGACUAUGUAAAGAAAUAAAGAGUAGAUGGUCGAUUUGAAAUUCAAAAUAACAAAUCGUGACUUGAAAGCAUCUCACCUAGUUUUACUAUUAUAAAAGACCUCUAGAAAUCAUUUCAUGAAGAAGUUUCUCCGCCUUAUCAUUCUUGUCGUCUUCGGACAAAGCACGAAUAAGAGUUUCGUAAGUAACAGCAUCAGGGGUGCAACCGUUUUCUUCCAUUUUUGACACUAAGGACAAUGCUUCGUCAAACAAGCCCUCCUUACAAAGCCCAUUAAUCAUAACAGUAUACAUCUUCACAUCAAAAUUAUAGCCUUUAAUCAAAAGAUCCUGAUAAAUCUCUUGUGCAUCCUUAAGUCUUCCAUUUUUGCAUAGCCCAUCAAUAAGUAUUGUGUAUGUAUACAUAUCUAGCUGAAUUCCUUGGUCUUUGAUCUUCCUCAAUAAUUCAAUCGCAUUGUCAACCUGAUGAUUUUUGCACAAAGCAUCCAAUAAAGAACUAUAAGUGAUCACAUUAGCAGGUUUGCCUCUAUCAUGCAUCUCAUCAAGAAGAUCCCAAACAUCAGAUAUUCUCCCUGAUUUGCAAAGUCCAUCAAUAAGUGAAUUGUAUGUUACAGUAUUAGGAGCCAUGUUUUUCAAAUGCAUUUCUUUGAAGAGACUCACGGCUUCAUCCACCAUUUUAUUUUUGCAUAAUCCAUUAAUCAUGACAUUGUAGCUAUGAACAUUAGGUUUCACUUCCCUUCGAGCAAUAGUGUUGAAUACAUAUGUAGCCUUGUUCACUUCUUUAACCAAGAAAUACCCAUAUAUUAAAGAAGUAUACGUAGCAACAUCUGGUUUAAAACCUUGUUUUAUCAUAACAGCUAAGACAUUUCUAGCUAUUUCAAUCUCUCCUUCCUUACAUAAACCAUCAACCAACUCAGUAAAAGUAUGAACAUUCGGGCUAAUAUUUUUCAACAACAUUUCAUUUAACAAACCAACCGCUUCGUUCAAUUGACCCACACUGCAAAGACCAUAUAUUAAAGUAGUGUACGUAACAACAUCCGGAGCAAUUUUCUUGACAAUCAUUUCAGAAUAUAAAUGAAAGGCAUCACUCACAAGUUUAUCCUUGCACAGACUAUUAAUGACCGUGUUGUACAUUACCACGUUUGGUUUAACCAUUAACUCUUCAAUCUUUCUAAGAAUCUCUAGGGCAGCUUUUGUUUCUCCGGUUUUACAUAACGCGUUAAUCAAGAUGUUAUAACUAACUCGAUCAAGGUGAAAUCCCUUUGAUAUAACAUCGUCAUGAAAAUGCAAUGCUUUAUUAACCUGACCACUAAGACACAUGCCAUUGAUAAGUGUAGUCAUUGUUACUGUAUCAGGUUGAUAACCUAAUUUGAUAAUUUUCCCCAAUACAGAAAAUGCAAAAUUGAGUUGAUGAAUUUGGCAAAAACAAUUGAUUAAGAUGUUUAAAGUAACAAUAUUAGGUUGAAUUUGUUUGAGUUCCAUUUGAUGAGAGAGGGAAAUAACAGUAUGAAAAUGAUUGAUUUUAACAAGAGAACCUAAAAUCUUACCAAAUUUGAUAAUGGAUGGUGUAGGUUUGAUAUAUAGCAUUUGAUUGAAUGAAGAAACUGCAUCAUCAACAUCAAC
rnacentral:lncRNA from 1 species